rnacentral:tRNA from 2 species
GACUCCGUAGCUCAGUUGGUAGAGCAAUUGACUCUUAAUCAAUGGGUCGAGGGUUCGAGCCCCUCCGGGGUCACAA